UUUCUUUCACUGGUAGGGGUUGCUGGGAAAUGUCUGGCCCUGUGUUGAGCAGUUGGAAUGAUGUGUAAGGGGUGUGCUUUGUUACAGGUGGAUCUACAAAGGGAGAUAUAAUUGGAGGCAAUUUUUGCUCUGGGUUUCCUCCUUAGAGCCACCAGCCUUCCACCAAAGGCAGGCAGAGGGAAAACUGUGCCAGCAGCCGAGGGGGGUGCUUGGCAAAGAUUUGAUGGGAAAUCGGAUGAGUCUACAAGUGACAAUACAAUUGGAGGCAAAGCUUUGAGAAGGGCCUCCUUCUAAUAGGGAAUGGGGAAGUUGUACAAUUGGCAAUGGGAUUAGAAGCAACGCUUUGAGCUAGGCCGCCUCCUUAAAACCACCAGCUAUACAGCAAAGGCGCAGGAAUUUGGGAAAGGAAGGAAGAGAGUAGCCCACAGAGCCACUUGUCUGGGAACGGUCUAGUUGGAAAUCGGGUAAGUGUGGCUUUAGCAGGCAUACGACGGUGUGUGUGUGGUGAUCUGGCUGGGGUAAGUAUGCAAGAGCUUUUGUGUCUGGUGAUUUUUUUUUUUUUUGUUUUGGGCACUGGUGGUGGUUGCAGGAACUAUGCUGCUGUAUAGUUUGAUUCGUGAGUAAUGCGUGUGCUUCGUUACAGGAGGUUCUUCAAUUGGCAUUGGGAUUAGAGGCAAGGCUUUGAGCUGGGCCUCCUUCUUAAAGCCACCAGCUAUACAGGAAAGGCAAAGGAAGAGAGCAGCCCACAGAGACACUUGCCCGGGAACAGUCUCAUGGGAAAUCGGGUAAGUGUGACCUUUGAGGGCGUGUGUGGUGAGCUGGCUGGGGUAAGUAGGCAAGAGUCUUUG